rnacentral:rRNA from 1 species
AAUCCAAAGUAGUGAUGUGUAGCGAACUAAAAGUAGCGAAGCUGCCAAUUCAGACUGCCGAGAAAAGCCGCUAUUGUUUAUCAUGUACCCGUACCCUAAACCGACACAGGUGGAUGAGGAGAGAAUCCUAAGGCCGGCGGGAGAAGCAUUGUUAAGGAACUCGGCAAAAUAACCCCGUAACUUCGGGAGAAGGGGUGCCCACUUUGGUGGGCCGCAGUGAAUAGGCUCAAGCAACUGUUUAGCAAAAACACAGGUCUAUGCGAAACCGAAAGGUGAUGUAUAUGGGCUGACGCCUGCCCGGUGCUGGAAGGUUAAGAGGAGAUGUCAGGCAACGAAGCAUUGAAUUCAAGCCCCAGUAAACGGCGGCCGUAACUAUAACGGUCCUAAGGUAGCGAAAUUCCUUGUCGGGUAAGUUCCGACCCGCACGAAAGGCGUAAUGAUUUGAGCACUGUCUCGACAAUGCACCCGGUGAAAUUGAAGUGCCAGUGAAGAUGCUGGCUACCUGCGCCAGGACGGAAAGACCCCAUGGAGCUUUACUCUAGCUUGAUACUGGGAUUCGAUGUUUAAUGUACAGGAUAGGUGGGAGACUGUGAGAUAGUGGCGUCAGCUGCUAAGGAGUCGCUGUUGGGAUACCACCCUUUGAACAUUGGAUUUCUAACCCGAGGCCGUAAUCCGGUCCGGGGACACUGUCUGGUGGGGAGUUUGACUGGGGCGGUCGCCUCCGAAAGGGUAUCGGAGGCGCUCAAAGGUUCCCUCAGAAUGGUCGGAAACCAUUCAAAGAGUGCAAAGGCAUAAGGGAGCUUGACUGCGACACCGACGGGUGGAGCAGGUAGGAAACUAGGACUUAGUGAUCCGGUGGUAUAAAGUGGGAUUGCCAUCGCUCAACGGAUAAAAGCUACCCUGGGGAUAACAGGCUGAUCACUCCCAAGAGUUCACAUCGACGGAGUGGUUUGGCACCUCGAUGUCGGCUCAUCGCAUCCUGGGGCUGAAGUUGGUCCCAAGGGUUGGGCUGUUCGCCCAUUAAAGCGGUACGCGAGCUGGGUUCAGAACGUCGUGAGACAGUUCGGUCCCUAUCCGGCGUGGGCGUAGGAUAUUUGAGAGGAGCUGUCCUUAGUACGAGAGGACCGGGAUGGACGGACCGCUGGUGUAUCUGUUGGCAACCAAUGCCAUGGCAGAGUAGCCAAGUCCGGCAGGGAUAAACGCUGAAGGCAUCUAAGCGUGAAGCCCCCCUCAAGAUGAGAUAUCCCUACCAUAAGGUAAUAAGACCCCUGAGAGACUAUCAGGUAGAUAGGGCCUAAGUGUAAGCGUAGUGAUACGUUCAGCGGAAGGUUACUAAUAGGUCGAAGGCUUGUCCU